GCCUGGGUGGCUCAGUUGGUUGAGCGUAUGACUUUGGCUCAGGUCAUGAUCUCACAGUUUGUGGGUUCAAGCCCCAUGUCUGGCU
rnacentral:tRNA from 1 species